rnacentral:rRNA from 1 species
UCAGGAUGAACGCUGGCGGCGUGCCUAAUACAUGCAAGUCGAGCGAACAGAUAAGGAGCUUGCUCCUUUGACGUUAGCGGCGGACGGGUGAGUAACACGUGGGUAACCUACCUAUAAGACUGGAAUAACUCCGGGAAACCGGGGCUAAUGCCGGAUAACAUAUAGAACCGCAUGGUUCUAUAGUGAAAGAUGGUUUUGCUAUCACUUAUAGAUGGACCCGCGCCGUAUUAGCUAGUUGGUAAGGUAAUGGCUUACCAAGGCGACGAUACGUAGCCGACCUGAGAGGGUGAUCGGCCACACUGGAACUGAGACACGGUCCAGACUCCUACGGGAGGCAGCAGUAGGGAAUCUUCCGCAAUGGGCGAAAGCCUGACGGAGCAACGCCGCGUGAGUGAUGAAGGGUUUCGGCUCGUAAAACUCUGUUAUUAGGGAAGAACAUAUGUGUAAGUAACUGUGCACAUCUUGACGGUACCU